GAGCACCGCGGCGGACAGAAACACAAACACUGCAGCGGCCCGUCUUCUGUGUUGGGGUCAGGGCGCGCUGAUGGAGCCCCCAAUCCUGUAGCUCUGCUGAGUACUGACGCUGUCCCUGGGCACCUGCCUCGAGAGUGUUGCUGCCCGACUUUGGCGCAGGAAAGGCGAGGAAGGAGGCAGGCUGAGGUUUUGAGUUAGCCUGAGUCGCCGGGCCUCAGUGGAGACUGUCCGGGUUCUCCGACUCGCUACUGCAGGCUGUCCCCGGGGCCAUGCUUGCUCCGCUGGCUCCUAGCUUCCCCGGGCGCGCUGAUGCAGGUCUCCGGCUCCCGGAGCACUCCAGAAACGGAGGGCGGCUCGGUGCAGCGCGGCGGGCCAGGCCCGGGCGCCUUCUCCCAGCUCCGGUCACAGCAGCUAUACACUUGCAACUAACUUCUCCCAAGUUUCCGGCCCGGGCUCAGCCGCGCCCCUCUCGGUGAGCGCGCCUCGGAGCGUGCGCCCGCGUGGGUGCCGCGCCCGCGAGCCCCUGGGUCCCGACAACUCCGGGCGCCGCGGGCUGGAUGGGUGCGGGGAUCCAGGCCCUGGAGGAUGGGGAUAAAAGAAAACGUGCUAUCACCUCAGAUCGCAGGUCCGCUCUGGGGCCGCACCUGCUUUCCCAGCUCCGGGCCCAGGUUGUCGCUCCGCCGCUUCCGAGGCGACUGCAGCCCGGCUCAGGUUUAGGCGAGUGGAGUGUCCGCCGCGCGCCGCGGAGUCUGCGCACUGUUUGGAGCUCGGUGUCGCCGGCGGCUGCCCCUGUUCGGCCCAGCGCUGCUGGGGUUCUGCUGGCUGCUCUUCCGGGAUAUUGAAAGCGGUACACCGGAGGAAAAGAGCUUCAGAAACUGGCGAGGAAGAGGGUUAAGCCUGGGGGGUGGGGGUGGGGGGAGAGUCUUUGAAAGUGUUUGAGACUGUUCCGAAUGGCAAGAAAGUACUCAUUUUCCUUGUUGGGCCAGGUGUGACUCGACACAGACGCCUCCAGCAGUUUCUUGCUCUCAGAGGCGUCUUGCACUCAGAAGUAGUGGAGUGGAAAGAAGCCCAGGAUGGACAGGACAUUUUUGGCAAGCCUUUGGAAAAGGAGCGAGCCUAGGUUGAGCCCGCAUCCUUUUCUGAAUACCCACAGUUGUCUUCUGCCGGGUUUUGCUUUCUUUUAAUCCUGGUCGUCAGAGCUAUCUCUGUGUUGUUUCUUUAACGUUUGCAGUCUUUCAACUGCACGAUAGAUAGGGCGAAGCUGCUUCAAGCUUCAAAUCAAAAGCAUAAAUCAUUUCUCUAAAUAAAAAUUUUAAAAAAUGUUCUACGAUAACUGUUUUUAUGCAGUUGAGCCAGCUUUCUUGCUUGGUAGUUAGAGCUAUUAUAAUUGGCGCUAUACAAAACCAAAAAUCAAACAGCACCCCCGAAUAUUCCUGGGGAACCCUCCCUCCUCAGGGAUUUUGUGUUUCAGGCAGAUUUCUUGUCUUCUUUUGGCUGUUUGCAAGUAACACAUUCGUAUAUACGGUUAGCUUUUUAAAAAAUGUCUCUUUGCAAUUUAUGUCCAGUUUGUACACACACAAGACCCUUGAACCAUUGAUUUGUAAUCAUGGCAUUGACAUGAAUUGGUUUGCACUCCUAUUUAUUUAAGAAUUAGGCUUGUUUUGUUGCUCAUUUAAAUUGAAGAAGGAGAUGGCUUUUGAAAUGUUUGUUGUGAUAACAGACAUGCCAGUCAGCAGUGGCAUGUUAAGUAGGUUUCUGUUUUCCUUAGCUGUCAUGUUUGUAAAUGCUUAUUUGGUAUUGUUUUUGCUCUCCUGUUGCUAAAACAAUUGAACUGAUUCCUCUAGAAUCAUAAUUCUUUACCUCAUUCUAGAAGACACUGCCAUUCAGACUCUGGGUGGUGCGAUGCUAAGACUCUGGCAAGUGUAAUUACAUAGACUAGGGUAUUAAAUACACUGUUUCAUGAUGAUAAACUACAAAAUUACUGUCUCUGAGCUUUCAACCUACCAACUUGCAUAAUAGGUUUGAGACAAAAAUAUUACCCACUGUCACACAAAGAACAUAUAUAUGGGAACACAAUAUAUGAAAACUGUUAUUCACUAAUUUUUCUGAAUAAAGUUGAGUCUAGUAACAAAAAUUAUCUUGACAUAAAAAGAUUCAAGACUUUAGAAAUUACUUUACGUUGGUAUUUUAAAUAAUUUAUGCACUUCAAAUUUAUCUUAUAAAUCUGCAAUCAAUUAUGAUUCCAUUGAAAUGUUUGUAUAUAUGACUGAAAUCUAUGCUUAUAUAUGCUAUAGGUUGUCAAAAAUCAAAUAUAUAAAACUUUUGUGAAUAACCCCAGU
ensembl:processed_transcript uncharacterized LOC110325325